CCCUUAGAUGUUCUGGGCCGCACGCGCGCUACACUGACGACUUCAACGAGUUUUUUUCAUUUGAAAAAGUCCUUGGCCGGAAGGUCUGGGUAAUCUUUUAAAAGGUCGUCGUGAUGGGGCUAGAUUCUUGCAAUUAUUAAUCUCCAACGAGGAAUUCCUAGUAAACGCAAGUCAUCAACUUGCAUUGAUUACGUCCCUGCCCUUUGUACACACCGCCCGUCGCUCCUACCGAUUGAGCAUCCCGGUGAAGACUCAGGAGAUAUGUACGUGGCUGGUCUCCAGCUGCGUUGCGUGCCGAAUUUGUCUAAACCUUGAUGCUUAGAGGAAGGAGAAGUCGUAACA
rnacentral:rRNA from 1 species